rnacentral:rRNA from 1 species
AUUGAACGCUGGCGGCAUGCCUUACACAUGCAAGUCGAACGGCCUCGCGGGAAAGCUUGCUUUCCUGCCUGCGCGUCGCGCACGUGUGUGUAACACAUCGGACCGUCCUGUCUAGCUGGGGUUACCCCGUCGAACGACGGCCUAAUACCGCAUACGCUCUUCGGCGGAAAGUACAGUACCUUUGGGCCUUUUUCUUGCCGCGCAUCCGUUGUCCGAUUAGCUAGUUGCUGGGGUAAAGGCCUACCAAGGCCACGAUCGGUAGCGGGUCUGAGAGGUCGAUCCGCCACACUGGGACUGAGACACGGCCCAGACUCCUACGGGAGGCAGCAGUAGGGAAUCUUGGACAAAGGGGGAAAGCCUGAUCGAGCAACGCCGCGUGAGUGAAGAAGGCCUUCGGAUUGUAAAGCCCUGUCAGUAGGGAAGAAAACGGGUGGACGAAUAAACGUGCGGGAUGACGGUACCUGAAGAAGAAGCACCGGCUAACUACGUG